ACUGACCUUACUGACAUAAAGUCAUCAUUGAACUUACACACCACUCUCACCCAUUCUCUCUCCUUUCUAUAUAAUCUCCACCCACAUGGCCCCUCCUACCACUCCAAAACCAAAACUCAAACUCCCCUGCUAUUCUUCUUCUCCCUCAAUUCUCUCUCACCAAAACCCUUUGCACCCAAUACCCUCAAACUCAACUUCAAUUGCUAAUUUUUAUAAAGCUAGCCGGAGAUGAUGGUUCAAAAGGAAGAUUUGGGUUUGAGUUUAAGUCUCAAUUUCCCUCAUCACAGUACCCCAAAUCCUCAACAUCUGAGUCUCAUGUCAUCCUCUACUCAUUCCUCUUCCCCUUCUGGUUUCAACCCUCAAAAACCCUCUUGGAACGAGGCUUUCGCUUCUUCGGAUCCAGAUCGAAACUCCGACACAUGCAGAGGCGAAACACGGUCGUUCCUGCGGGGAAUCGACGUGAACCGGUUACCUUCCGCCGUGGACGCCGAGGAGGAAGCGGGAGUUUCGUCUCCAAACAGCACCGUCUCGUGCGUGAGCGGAAAACGAAGCGAGAGAGAACCCAACGGCGAAGAACACGACAUGGACAGAGCCUGUUCCCGCGGAAUCAGCGACGAAGAAGACGCUGAAACCUCAAGGAAAAAACUUAGACUCUCCAAAGACCAAUCCGCUAUCCUCGAAGAAAGCUUCAAAGAACACAACACCCUCAACCCCAAGCAAAAAUUGGCACUGGCAAAACAGCUAGGGCUUCGACCUAGACAAGUGGAGGUGUGGUUCCAGAACAGAAGGGCAAGGACUAAGCUGAAGCAAACUGAGGUGGACUGCGAAGUAUUGAAAAGGUGCUGUGAGAAUCUGACGGAGGAAAAUAGAAGGUUACAGAAGGAGGUUCAGGAGCUUAGAGCACUGAAACUUUCCCCCCAGUUUUACAUGCAAAUGAGCCCACCCACGACGCUCACUCUGUGCCCCUCUUGCGAGCGUGUGGCUGUUUCGUCCUCCGCCGUUGGUUCUGCCACGCGUCAUCAUCCCAUGGCCCAUGCCCAUGCCCAUGCUCGGCCCAUGCCCAAUGGCCCGUGGGCUUCCGCAGCUCCCAUUCCACACCGGCCGUUUGAUGCUUUCCACCAAUGAUCUUGAGGGUGUUUUGGUCAUUGUGAAUUAUUAUUAUUUACAAUUAUGGGCCUACUUGUACCACCGUGAAUGUGUGUACCCCAAAAGAGAGAAAAUAUUGGGAGAAACAGUGAGGGAGCGGUUGAAACAGCAUGCUGUGGAAUUGUGCGUGUUCCAAAGUGCGGUGCGGUCUAAGGAUAUGGUCAUUAGAAGAAGGGAUUUGGUGGGUCUCCAAUGUUUUGUACCAGUUUGACCCAUCAACUUUUGUUUUGUUGGGUAUGACCUAUAUUAGUUAGGAGUUUUUCAGUUUUUAGUAUUACUUAAAUUUUCUCCUCAACAGAGACUUUGUGUAAAGUGCAAUUUUCUAGUUAAAUUUCACUUAAUUGGGUUUGGGAUAAUUA